GGGCUUGUGGUCUAGCGGUUAUGACGUCACCCUUACAAGGUGAAUAUCACCAGUUCAAAUCUGGUCAGGCCCA
rnacentral:tRNA from 1 species